GACGAACGCUGGCGGCGUGCUUAACACAUGCAAGUCGAACGGAAAGGCCCUGCUUUUGUGGGGUGCUCGAGUGGCGAACGGGUGAGUAACACGUGAGUAACCUGCCCUUGACUUUGGGAUAACUUCAGGAAACUGGGGCUAAUACCGGAUAGGAGCUCCUGCUGCAUGGUGGGGGUUGGAAAGUUUCGGCGGUUGGGGAUGGACUCGCGGCUUAUCAGCUUGUUGGUGGGGUAGUGGCUUACCAAGGCUUUGACGGGUAGCCGGCCUGAGAGGGUGACCGGCCAAAAUUGGAAUUAGAAAAGGCCCAGAAUCCUAAGGGAGGCAGGAGUGGGGAAUAUUGCACAAUGGGCGGAAGCCUGAUGCAGCAACGCCGCGUGCGGGAUGACGGCCUUCGGGUUGUAAACCGCUUUCGCCUGUGACGAAGCGUGAGUGACGGUAAUGGGUAAAGAAGCACCGGCUAACUACGUG
rnacentral:rRNA from 1 species